rnacentral:rRNA from 1 species
CUACGGGCGGCUCCAGUGAGGAAUAUUGCACAAUGGGGGGAACCCUGAUGCAGCAACGCCGCGUGGAGGAUGACGCAUUUCGGUGUGUAAACUCCUUUUAUAUGUCAAGAAAAUGACGGUAGCAUAUGAAUAAGCACCGGCUAACUCCGUGCCAGCAGCCGCGGUAAUACGGAGGGCGCAAGCGUUACUCGGAAUCACUGGGCGUAAAGGACGCGUAGGCGGGUUGAAAAGUCAGGUGUGAAAGCCUACGGCUUAACUGUAGAACUGCACUUGAAACUCUCAAUCUAGAGUAUGGGAGGGGCAGAUGGAAUUAGUGGUGUAGGGGUAAAAUCCGUAGAUAUCACUAGGAAUACCUAAAGCGAAGGCGAUCUGCUGGAACAUUACUGACGCUAAGGCGUGAAAGCGUGGGGAGCAAACAGGAUUAGAUACCCUGGUAGUC